GGGGAUAUGGCGAAAUUGGUAGACGCUACGGACUUAAUUGGAUUGAGCCUUGGUAUGGAAACCCACUCAGUGAUAACUUUCAAAUUCAGAGAAACCUGGAAUUAAUAAAAAGGGGCAAUCCUGAGCCAAAUCCUGUUUUCCGAAAACAAAGGUUCAGAAAGUGAAAAAAGGAUAGGUGCAGAGACUCAAUGGAAGCUGUUCUAACAAAUGGAGUGGCUGCGUUAGUAGAGAAAUCUUUCCAUCGAAAAUUUAGAAAGGACGAAGUGAAGGAUAAACGUAUAUACAUACGUAUUGAAUACUAUAUCAAAUGAUUAAUGACGACCCAAAUGAAUCUGUAUUUUUUUAUAUGAAAAACGGAAGAAUUAGUGUGAAUAGAUUCCACAUUGAAGAAAGAAUCGAAUAUUCAUUGAUCAAAUGAUUCACUCCAUAGUCUGAUAGAUUUUUUCAAGAACUGAUUAAUCGGACGAGAAUAAAGAUAGAGUCCCGUUCUACAUGCCAAUGCCGGCAACAAUGAAAUUUAUAGUAAGAGGAAAAUCCGUCGACUUUAAAAAUCGUGAGGGUUCAAGUCCCUCUAUCCCCAA
rnacentral:ncRNA from 1 species